CCUACGGGAGGCAGCAGUGGGGGAUAUUGCACAAUGGGGGGAACCCUGAUGCAGCGACGCCGCGUGGGUGAAGAAGCGCCUCGGCGCGUAAAGCCCUGUCAGCAGGGAAGAAAAUGACGGUACCUGAAGAAGAAGCCCCGGCUAACUACGUGCCAGCAGCCGCGGUAAUACGUAGGGGGCAAGCGUUAUCCGGAUUUACUGGGUGUAACGGGGGCGCAGACGGCGAUGCAAGCCAGGAGUGACAGCCCGGGGCCCAACCCCGGGACUGCUCUUGGAACUGCGUGGCUGGAGUGCAGGAGGGGCAGGCGGAAUUCCUGGUGUAGCGGUGAAAUGCGUAGAUAUCAGGAGGAACACCGGUGGCGAAGGCGGCCUGCUGGACUGCAACUGACGUUGAGGCCCGAAAGCGUGGGGAGCAAACAGGAUUAGAUACCCCAGUAGUC
rnacentral:rRNA from 1 species